CUACGGAGGGUGCAAGCGUUAAUCGGAAUUACUGGGCGUAAAGCGCACGCAGGCGGUCAAUUAAGUCAGAUGUGAAAGCCCCGAGCUUAACUUGGGAAUUGCAUCUGAAACUGGUUGGCUAGAGUCUUGUAGAGGGGGGUAGAAUUCCACGUGUAGCGGUGAAAUGCGUAGAGAUGUGGAGGAAUACCGGUGGCGAAGGCGGCCCCCUGGACAAAGACUGACGCUCAGGUGCGAAAGCGUGGGGAGCAAACAGGAUUAGAUACCCUGGUAGGCCACGCUGUAAACGAUGUCGAUUUAGAGGUUGUGCCCUUGAGGCGUGGCUUCCGGAGCUAACGCGUUAAGUCGACCGCCUGGGGAGUACGGCCGCAAGGUUAAAACUCAAAUGAAUUGACGGGG
rnacentral:rRNA from 1 species